UACGUAGGGGGCGAGCGUUGUCCGGAAUUAUUGGGCGUAAAGAGCUCGUAGGCGGUUUGUUGCGUCGGCUGUGAAAUCCCGAGGCUCAACCUCGGGUCUGCAGUCGAUACGAGCAAACUAGAGUGUUGCAGGGGGAGACUGGAAUUCCUGGUGUAGCGGUGAAAUGCGCAGAUAUCAGGAGGAACACCGGUGGCGAAGGCGGGGUCUCUGGGCAACAACUGACGCUGGAGGAGCGAAAAGCGUGGGGGGAGCGAAACAGGG
rnacentral:rRNA from 1 species